rnacentral:rRNA from 1 species
CGGAGGAAAAGAAACUAACAAGGAUUCCCCUAGUAACGGCGAGUGAAGAGGGAAGAGCCCAAGAUUGAAAGCUGGCGUCUUCGACGUCCGCAUUGUAAUCUCAAGAAUUGUUUUCCGCUUCGGACCAAGCCUAAGUCUCCUGGAAAGGAGCAUCAUAGAGGGUGAUAAUCCCGUACAUGGCUUGGAGCGCCCGUAGCUUUGUGAUACAUUUUCUAAGAGUCGAGUUGUUUGGGAAUGCAGCUCAAAAUGGGUGGUAAAUGCCAUCUAAGGCUAAAUAUUGGGGAGAGACCGAUAGCGAACAAGUACAGUGAUGGAAAGAUGAAAAGAACUUUGAAAAGAGAGUUAAACAGUACGUGAAAUUGCCAAAAGGGAAGGGUAGGAGGUCAGAGAUGCUUGCUGGGAUUCAGCCUUGCUUUUGCUUGGUGUUUUUCCUAGUCGGCAGGCCAACGUCGGUUUUGGGCACUGGAGAAGGGUAAGAGGAACGUGGCACCCCUCGGGGUGUGUUUAUAGCCUCUUACUGGAUACAGCGACCGAGACCGAGGACAGCAGCGUACUCGCAAGAGCGGGCCUUCGGGCACCUUUACGCUUAGGGCGUUGGCAUAAUGGCCCUCUACCACCCGUCUU